GAUGAACGCUGGCGGCGUGCCUAAUACAUGCAAGUCGAGCGAACGGACGAGAAGCUUGCUUCUCUGAUGUUAGCGGCGGACGGGUGAGUAACACGUGGAUAACCUACCUAUAAGACUGGAAUAACUUCGGGAAACCGGAGCUAAUACCGGAUGAUAUUUUGAACCGCAUGGUUCAAAAGUGAAAGACGGUCUUGCUGUCACUUAUAGAUGGAUCCGCGCUGCAUUAGCUAGUUGGUAAGGUAACGGCUUACCAAGGCAACGAUGCAUAGCCGACCUGAGAGGGUGAUCGGCCACACUGGAACUGAGACACGGUCCAGACUCCUACGGGAGGCAGCAGUAGGGAAUCUUCCGCAAUGGGCGAAAGCCUGACGGAGCAACGCCGCGUGAGUGAUGAAGGUCUUCGGAUCGUAAAACUCUGUUAUUAGGGAAGAACAUAUGUGUAAGUAACUGUGCACAUCUUGACGGUACCUAAUCAGAAAGCCACGGCUAACUACGU
rnacentral:rRNA from 1 species